UACGUAGGGUGCGAGCGUUAAUCGGAAUUACUGGGCGUAAAGCGUGCGCAGGCGGUGAUGUAAGACAGAUGUGAAAUCCCCGGGCUCAACCUGGGACCUGCAUUUGUGACUGCAUCGCUAGAGUACGGCAGAGGGGGGAUGGAAUUCCGCGUGUAGCAGUGAAAUGCGUAGAUAUGCGGAGGAACACCGAUGGCGAAGGCAAUCCCCCUGGACCUGUACUGACGCUCAUGCACGAAAGCGUGGGGAGCAAACA
rnacentral:rRNA from 1 species